CCAACGGAGGGACGGGGCUACCGUCCGGACGAGUAGGUUCANGACUGGGGUG
rnacentral:rRNA from 1 species